rnacentral:rRNA from 1 species
CCAACAGGGAUUGCCUCAGUAACGGCGAGUGAAGCGGCAAAAGCUCAAAUUUGAAAUCUAGCACCUUCGGUGUUCGAGUUGUAAUUUGAAGAUGGUAACCUUGGGUUUGGCUCUUGUCUAUGUUCCUUGGAACAGGACGUCAUAGAGGGUGAGAAUCCCGUCUGAUGAGAUGCCCAUUCCUAUGUAAGGUGCUAUCGAAGAGUCGAGUUGUUUGGGAAUGCAGCUCUAAGUGGGUGGUAAAUUCCAUCUAAAGCUAAAUAUUGGCGAGAGACCGAUAGCGAACAAGUACAGUGAUGGAAAGAUGAAAAGAACUUUGAAAAGAGAGUGAAAAAGUACGUGAAAUUGUUGAAAGGGAAGGGCAUUAGAUCAGACUUGGUGUUUUACGAUUAUCUUCUCUUCUUGAGCUGUGCACUCGUAUUUCACUGGGCCAGCAUCGAUUCGGAUGGCAAGAUAAUGGCAGUUGAAUGUGGCUUCACUUCGGUGGAGUGUUAUAGCUUCUGCUGAUAUUGCCUGUCUGGAUCGAGGGCUGCGUCUUUUGACUAGGAUGCUGGCGUAAUGAUCUAA